CCUGACGGUAGUCGUAUGCUCGUCUCCGAGACUAAGCCAUGCAAGUCCAAGUACACGUCCUUGAACGACGGAAACUGCGAACGGCUCAUUAAAUCAGUUGCGAUCUACUCGGCGUUCCGCGCCGCCGGAUAACCGUAGUAAUUCUAGGGCUAAUACGUGCGAAGCGCCGAAGCCGCGAGGCGACGGGCGUUCUCGCCGGAUGUAGGAACCGACCCGGGGACCGCCGGGGCAACCCGGCGCCCCCGAGACGGGGCGAACCACGGUGAAAUGACGGAUCGUCGGCCCCGCGCCGGCGACUCGCCGAAUGAGUUUCUGACCUAUCAACUCGAGACGGCGGGGUAGAGGCCCGCCGCGGUAACGACGGGUAACGGGGAAUCAGGGUUCGAUUCCGGAGAGGGAGCCCCGAGAAACGGCUACCACUUCCAAGGAAGGCAGCAG
rnacentral:rRNA from 1 species